GACGAACGCUGGCGGCGUGCCUAAUACAUGCAAGUAGAACGCUGAAGACUUUAGCUUGCUAAAGUUGGAAGAGUUGCGAACGGGUGAGUAACGCGUAGGUAACCUGCCUACUAGCGGGGGAUAACUAUUGGAAACGAUAGCUAAUACCGCAUAACGGCAUUUAACUCAUGUUAGAUGCUUGAAAGGAGCAAUUGCUUCACUAGUAGAUGGACCUGCGUUGUAUUAGCUAGUUGGUGAGGUAACGGCUCACCAAGGCGACGAUACAUAGCCGACCUGAGAGGGUGAUCGGCCACACUGGGACUGAGACACGGCCCAGACUCCUACGGGAGGCAGCAGUAGGGAAUCUUCGGCAAUGGGGGCAACCCUGACCGAGCAACGCCGCGUGAGUGAAGAAGGUUUUCGGAUCGUAAAGCUCUGUUGUAAGAGAAGAACGUGUGUGAGAGUGGAAAGUUCACACAGUGACGGUAACUUACCAGAAAGGGACGGCUAACUACGUGCCAGCAGCCGCGGUAAUACGUAGGUCCCGAGCGUUGUCCGGAUUUAUUGGGCGUAAAGCGAGCGCAGGCGGUUUAAUAAGUCUGAAGUUAAAGGCAGUGGCUUAACCAUUGUUCGCUUUGGUAACUG
rnacentral:rRNA from 1 species